GCCCGGAUGGUGGAAUGGUAUACACGGAGGACUUAAAAUCCUCUGGCCGCAAGGCCUUGCCGGUUCGAGUCCGGCUCCGGGUACCA
rnacentral:tRNA from 1 species